GUCAGGCGAAAUUCGCACUGAAAGGAUAUUCCAACAGAAUAAAAAAGAAUGGAAUAACAACAAAAAUCACCAUGCAUGUGAUAGACCGCACAGACAGGUUAUUCCAACAGAAUAAUAAUUAAUGGAACCAGGUUAGGCGUAAUACGCACCGACAGGAUAUUCAAACAGAAUAAUAAAGAAUGGAAUAACAGAAGAAUUUCACCAUGUAUGCGGUACUUCGCAUAUACAGG
rnacentral:lncRNA from 1 species